CAUUGUGGGGGUGCGGGCUAACGGGGCGGUGGGGCUGCGAGAGGGCACCGGGCACGGGAUGUUGGUGGGCCGUGCAGGUCAGAGGAGGUGUGCGCAGGGAUCGUGGGGGGCCGCGCGCUGGGGCCCUAGGGCCGUGGCGGGUCGCCGCCCGCUUCCUCCCUGCUGCGGGGCUUCCCUGUGGGUCUGACUCCCGCUUCGCGCCCCGGGGCCCGGAGGUCGGCGGCGGGAGGGCGACCGUCUCGGCGUGUGGCCGGCAUCUCCGAGGACGGGCGCUGGCGCCUGCUUCCCGCCCUCUGCUGCCCGCGCCCUCCCGGUCCUGACUGCCCGCUCCUCCGGCCCGGCCUCCGGCUGGUCCAGGACGUCCCAAGGACUCGCAGGGACCGGCGGCCAGCGCGCCUGCUCCGUUAGCACGUGGGCUGGGGGGCCUCGCCUGCGUGUAACAGAAGCCCCCCAAUUCCAGCAUCCUAAGCCCGCCGGGCUCUUCUUCCGUCUCAUGAGAGGAAGCUUGGGGUAGGUGCUGCAGAGAUCCAAACGCGGUUCUGUCUUUACAGCUUGGCUUCCGCCCACAAACUGGGGCCAAAAGGGUUGUCGGCGCCAGCCUUCACGACCUUAUUUUAGAAGAGGCCUGUCCAGGAGCCCCAGCCAACAACUUCUACCCACAGCCUGUGGGCUUGGACUGGGCGCCGUGGCUCGCCUCGCCGAGAAAUGUCAUCCGAGCACCUUUCUGCUCAGUGAGACGCCCCUCCGAAAAGGAGGGGAAGAACGCGUUCCGACGACAACCAGCGGUGUCCGCUGCAUCUGCGGUUUGCUGUUUCUGACUUUCGCCGCUGGUCCUGGAUCACACAGCGCAGUAGAAAUAAUCCCUUCCCUGGACGUGCCGAACAACGCACGAGGCACAGACGUGCUCUGUGGCUGACCCGCCGCCAGAUCCUUUACGUGUAUUUUUCCUAUUUUCACCAACCGUGCAAGGCGGGCGUUCCCGGCCCCGCGCUGCCGAUGGACGCUGAAGAUAAGUGGCGACGAACUGCCCUGCAGAGGGGCUCUCAGACCAGGCGGGCUGGUAGGAGUCAGUACACAGUGUUUCGAGCACACGCCUCAGGAAUAUGGUUUUGUGUAUACUGAGUCCACACGGGUCACUGCCUGAAGCGGACAAGAAUCCACAGACGGGAUGAGGGUGGAGGUUCCUGUUUCCUUGCUGACUGUCAGCAGUGGGCUGCUUUUAGCUCCUGGAGGCCACCGUCAGUUCUUUGCCACGUGGUCCUCUCCAUAGACCGUCUCACAACAUGGCAGCUUCUUCAAAGCCAGCAAAAGAGAGAGAAUCACCAUUUUUAAUGGUAGCAUGAUACUCCACUGUAUGGAUAUAACAUAAUUAAACUAUCCUCUAUAAAUAUGAGGUUGCUUCAAAUUUUUCUUUAUUAUAAACAAGGCUACAAUAUACCUCUGUCAGUUAUUUCCUUAGGAUAAUACCCAGAAGUGGAAUCGCUGAGUCAAAUGGUAUGCACUUUUUAAAUCUUUUUUUGUUUUGCGUGUUGAAAGUAACCAUCCAGAAAACAAAGCCCAUUAUGCUUGCACUAAGAAUGUAUGCGAGUGCUGGACACAUACUUGUAUAAUCCAUAAAUUUAAUCUUUCCCAAUCUAAUGGUGAAAAGUUGUAUCUCGUUGUUUUAAUUUGUAUUUCUUUGGUGAGGUCAAACUUUUUUUAUAUUUAUUGGACAUUGCGUUUUGUGAAUUUUAUUUUCAUGACUUUUGCCUUUUUUGCAACUGUGAAAGCACUUUGUACGUUAAGUGCUCUUUGUGGAUUGCAAAUAUCUUUCCAAAUUUAUUUAUGUUUGUUAACGUUUUGGGGAAUUACUGGCUAUAUAAAAAUUUUAAACUUU